rnacentral:rRNA from 1 species
CUCUCUUUGUGAUUUAUAUAUAAAGAGUUGGGCCUGCUCGGUGAAUAGUUUUUUAACAGCUGCGGUAUUUUAACUGUACUAAGGUAGCAUAAUAAUUUGCCUUAUAAUUUGAGGCUAGAAUGAAUGGUUUGACGAAGGUUAAUCUGUCUCUAUCUUACUUUUUAGAAUUUAAUUUUGAUAGUGAAAAAGCUUCAAUUUUUUAAAGGGACGAGAAGACCCUAUUGAGCUUAUAAUUUUAUUAUUAUUAUUAUUAUUAUUAUAAUAAUAAUAUAUAAAUUUUAGUUGGGGUGAUUAAGGAAUAAUAUAUUUAUAAUAACUUCCUUAGAUUAAAUAUUAAUAGAUUAAGUAACCAAUAUAUUAUUGCUUUUAUAAUAGUUACCAUAGGGAUAACAGCGUAAUUUGUUUAGAGAGUUCUUAUUGAAAAAUGAGAUUGCGACCUCGAUGUUGGAUUAAAGUAACCUCAAGGUGAAGAAGCUUUGUAUGGUAAAUCUGUUCGAUUUUUAAAACUUUACA